UCCUUUUUUUCUCCUUUUUAUUAUUUCAUAUCUUUCAUCCUGUGCAGCUUAAUUCAGGAAUGAAACACGUGAGUCAGCAAAAAAGAUCAGGUUUUGCUCAUCAUGCCACACUUUCCACGCGCUCACUGGCGCUGUUGGGCAGUUUGGUUCGUUUCGCAUAAAUUCGCUUGUUUUUAAAGCGAAACCCCAAGAAGUAAAAAAGGGAAGACCAUAAGAAACAAAGGGGAUACCCCAAGAAGUAAAAAAGGGAAACCCUUAAGAAUAAAAAAAAGGGAAACCCCAAGAAGUAUAAAAGGGAAACCCCAAGAAGUAAAAAGGGAUACCCUUAAGAAGUAAAAAAAAAGGGAUACCCCAAGAAAAGUAAAAAAGGGAAACUUAUAAGAAGUAAAAAAGGGAAGACCAUAAGAAACAAAAAGGGGAAACCCCAAGAAGUAAAAAGGUAUACCCUUAAGAAGUAAAAAGGAAAGACCAUAAGAAACAAAACGGUAGUAUGAAGUAAAAAGGGAAACUGUUAAGAAGCAUAAAUGAAAACCCUUAAGUAAUGAAACCCUUUGAAAACAUUUCAAAACAUUUCAAGACCUCCCCUCAGGAUUCCAUCACGGCAGAAAUCUGCAUGAGGUCGGUGCAUUGUUACAGGCUUGACGUUAUCGACGUUCUCUCUAAACAACGUUGGCCCUCCAUGUCCUUCCAGCAAACCCCAUACAAAGCGUAUACGGGACGCGGGUCCGGAGCGGAAGUGCCGUCCUUCACGUCUAAUCACCACACUACUUCAUCUCCUGCAGGGUCUCGGCGUCGCGGUUUGAAUCCCUGAGUGGAGCGCACAGAGUAGCUGAUGAGAAGUGGAAAGGCGCGGUUCUCCAGUGUGUAGGAGGUGCGACUGGAAGGUUCGGAGAAGGUUCGUAAUCUCCAGAAGCUGUUGAUUAGGUCGAGGGGAGAGAAAAAAACGGUUAGCGGUGAAUAAUAGCAGUGUGUAGAGCUGCGCGCUGACCUCCAGUAAAGCUCCGCCAUGUUCACAGACGGGCUUUAACUUGGCGUUCCGAUGUCAC
ensembl:lncRNA